UUAGGAAUUUUGGGCAAUGGGCGGAAGCCUGACCCAGCAACGCCGCGUGGGUGACGAAGGCCCUCGGGUCGUAAAGCCCUUUUCUCGGGGAAGAUGAUGACGGUACCCGAGGAAGAAGCACCGGCUAACUACGUGCCAGCAGCCGCGGUAAUACGUAGGGUGCGAGCGUUGCCCGGAUUCAUUGGGCGUAAAGGGCGCGUAGGCGGCCGCGCGCGUCAUGCGUGAAAUCUCCCGGCUCAACUGGGAGGGGUCGUGUGAUACGGCGCGGCUGGAGCGAGGUAGGGGGCAGCGGAAUUCCCGGUGUAGUGGUGGAAUGCGUAGAUAUCGGGAGGAACACCAGUGGCGAAGGCGGCUGCCUGGACCUUAGCUGACGCUGAGGCGCGAAAGCGUGGGGAGCGAUCCGG
rnacentral:rRNA from 1 species